GGAGGACUUAUCGUCGGAAUUAUCGUUGGCGUCGGUUCGACGGUUGUCUACAUGAGGCGGAAAUCUCCUGUACCCAAAUCCGGUCCAAUAAAAGCGGAGACUGCUCAGCGUGAAGAUGAGAGUGGCCAGAUCCAAAUGACAGAUCGAAAUAAACCAAAGAACGAAAAACAACAGAAAAGCAGGGCAAAUGACGAAUCUCGUGAAGUUGUCAACCCUUCAUAUGAACCUGUAGACAUUAUUACGACGAAGUAGACGAGAACCAAUAAAAUCCUACAGCCUAUAGCAAAUAUGCGAUUCGUGGCCAUAAAAGCAUUACAACAUAUGUGUUUUGCAUGAAGAGGAAUAGGAAUAUGUUGGUCUAAACUGCAAUUAUUGGAAAGAAACGAAAUAAAAUGAAAGCAGCGUCAAAUGCGCGCACUGACAUGGAGCAAUAUUGGUUCCAUAUUGAAUAAUACACAUUUUCAACAGGCGCGGACCGAUUAAAAGGACUUUACAAACAUCAAACAGUAAUGCACGAAUUCCUCCGCAUUAAACGUAGCGCAAUUUGGAUUAUGAUUUUACAAGAUGAUAUAUACAGCCGUAAGUGUCCAAAUAAAUAAAAAG